GUGCUUGCUUCGGCAGCACAUAUAGUAAAACUGGAACAGUACAGAGAAGAUUACCGUGGCCCCUGCACAAGGAUGACACGCAAAUUCAUGAAUCAUUCCAUUAAAAA
rnacentral:snRNA from 1 species